CCACUUAAUUUCAUUUCUUGUCCUUAUGAAAGAGUUUCAUCAUCUCGUCCUGGAGAAUCAGAGUCGAAAAUCUCAAUUUCCUACAACUAUUGAUCUGGCCCUGCCCUUCUCUUUUCUUGAUAGAACUGCAAAUUCUGUAUUACUCAGUGAACACCAAUAUAAAAUGACGGAACCUGCCAUCGUUACCGAUAUUCAGUGCAGCAUUUUGUUUAUAAUGCCCAUGCCAGCAACCACUGCCCAUGGCUAUCAUUAAAUCGUCUCAACUUAUUCUGUGCACAUAUUUACACGGCAUAGCCUUUUGCCCAUUUUACUUGGCUGGUAUCACCACAUAAAGGGAAGACUCUGGACAUGUUUACAUGGAUGUAGCCCUGUCACCCGUUUCAACAUUAGAUCGUAAAGUAGCUCCCUUUGCCUGAUAAUAGUCGCUCAGCCACUUUUUUAUCAGCUUGAUCUCGGUUGCUCUCUGUUCUACCAGCCAGUUGGGAUCCUGCGCCGUUGCAGCACG